rnacentral:rRNA from 1 species
UAGGGAAUCUUACGCAAUGGACGCAAGUCUGACGGAGCAACGCCGCGUGAGUGAAGAAGGAUUUCGGUUCGUAAAACUCUGUUGUUAGAGAAGAACAGCGCAUAGAGUAACUGUUAUGCGUGUGACGGUAUCUAACCAGAAAGCCACGGCUAACUACGUGCCAGCAGCCGCGGUAAUACGUAGGUGGCAAGCGUUGUCCGGCUUUAUUGGGCGUAAAGCGAGCGCAGGCGGUCAAUUAAGUCGUAUGUGAAAGUCCCCGGCUCAACCGGGGAGGAUCAUUGGGAACUGGUUGACUUUAGUGCAUAAGAGGAGAUUGGAAUUCCAUGUGUAGCGGUGAAAUGCGUAGAUAUAUGGAGGAACACCAUUAGCGAAGGCGACUCUCUGGUCUGUAACUGUCGCUGAGUCUCGAAAGCGUGGGUAGCAAACAGG